CGGGUGUCUGCGCAGAACACGGCUCCUUUGAGAGAACUGUCGGUGCCACUUUUGUUUCCGACACAUGUAUGCGUAUGUCUGUGGAUUUCUGAACGAAGCAGAGCUCAGCUCUUGCCCUCUCACAUCCUUUGAAGAUGACCACCUUGAAGAUUAGGAUGAAAAGCAAACCCUCGGCUCCUGGCCUGAGCUCUUGGCAAUCAUGUCUCUCACCAGGCAGGAAGCAAAAGAAGAUUGUUUCUGCACUCAUUUGUUUUCAGAACAGUGGAGCAAACAGUCAUUUACUGGUCUCCAUAGACACUGAAGAGACACCAGGUGGCGGUGACUCUGCGGGUUGCAAAUGUCCCCAGCGUCAGAUUCAUAUUAUUUCCCCUGACCCCCUCUGUCCUCUGUGGAUGAGGAGAGCUGGGCAGAACACCUUGGUGGGGUCUCAGGGCUCCAGCGGUGACCACUGCUGGGUCGGACCAGCAAAUGGAAAGGAGCCCACGUGUGCUCUCUGUGGCCCGGGCGGUAAAGAGGAGGUGGAUCCCGGGGCUGUGGGUGAGAGCAGUGGGAAUACCAGGUACUAUUUCUUCCCUCCAUUAAUCCUCCCAAAAGAUUGCUAUGUCUGCACCAAAGUCCCUGCUUAAAACUUUGGAACAAGAAUGUAGCUUCAACGGCCAGGCGUGGUGGUUCAUGCCUGUAAUCCCAAUGCUUUGGGAGGCCAAGGCAGGCGGAUCACCUGAGGUCUGGAGUUUGAGACCAGCCUGGCCAACAUGG
ensembl:lncRNA novel transcript